rnacentral:rRNA from 1 species
AGAGUUUGAUUCUGGCUCAGAACGAACGCUGGCGGCGUGGAUAAGACAUGCAAGUCGAACGAGAGAAUUGCUAGCUUGCUAAUAAUUCUCUAGUGGCGCACGGGUGAGUAACACGUGAGUAACCUGCCCCCGAGAGCGGGAUAGCCCUGGGAAACUGGGAUUAAUACCGCAUAGUAUCGAAAGAUUAAAGCAGCAAUGCGCUUGGGGAUGGGCUCGCGGCCUAUUAGUUAGUUGGUGAGGUAACGGCUCACCAAGGCGAUGACGGGUAGCCGGUCUGAGAGGAUGUCCGGCCACACUGGAACUGAGACACGGUCCAGACACCUACGGGUGGCAGCAGUCGAGAAUCAUUCACAAUGGGGGAAACCCUGAUGGUGUGACGCCGCGUGGGGGAAUGAAGGUCUUCGGAUUGUAAACCCCUGUCAUGUGGGAGCAAAUUAAAAAGAUAGUACCACAAGAGGAAGAGACGGCUAACUCUGUGCCAGCAGCCGCGGUAAUACAGAGGUCUCAAGCGUUGUUCGGAAUCACUGGGCGUAAAGCGUGCGUAGGCUGUUUCGUAAGUCGUGUGUGAAAGGCGCGGGCUCAACCCGCGGACGGCACAUGAUACUGCGAGACUAGAGUAAUGGAGGGGGAACCGGAAUUCUCGGUGUAGCAGUGAAAUGCGUAGAUAUCGAGAGGAACACUCGUGGCGAAGGCGGGUUCCUGGACAUUAACUGACGCUGAGGCACGAAGGCCAGGGGAGCGAAAGGGAUUAGAUACCCCUGUAGUCCUGGCAGUAAACGGUGCACGCUUGGUGUGCGGGGAAUCGACCCCCUGCGUGCCGGAGCUAACGCGUUAAGCGUGCCGCCUGGGGAGUACGGUCGCAAGAUUAAAACUCAAAGAAAUUGACGGGGACCCGCACAAGCGGUGGAGUAUGUGGCUUAAUUCGAUGCAACGCGAAGAACCUUACCUGGGCUUGACAUGUAAUGAACAACAUGUGAAAGCAUGCGACUCUUCGGAGGCGUUACACAGGUGCUGCAUGGCCGUCGUCAGCUCGUGUCGUGAGAUGUUUGGUUAAGUCCAGCAACGAGCGCAACCCCUGUUGCCAGUUACCAGCACGUGAAGGUGGGGACUCUGGCGAGACUGCCCAGAUCAACUGGGAGGAAGGUGGGGACGACGUCAGGUCAGUAUGGCCCUUAUGCCCAGGGCUGCACACGUACUACAAUGCCCAGUACAGAGGGGGCCGAAGCCGCGAGGCGGAGGAAAUCCUGAAAACUGGGCCCAGUUCGGACUGUAGGCUGCAACCCGCCUACACGAAGCCGGAAUCGCUAGUAAUGGCGCAUCAGCUACGGCGCCGUGAAUACGUUCCCGGGUCUUGUACACACCGCC